rnacentral:misc_RNA from 1 species
GGAAAAUGUUGCUAACUCAGUCGUGAUGAUUCAGCCCUCUUUGAUAUCUUAUUCUUUUCAUUCUGGUCCGGAACCAGUCCUCCUUGAUGUGGCGGCAAUUGCUGCUGAAAGAAUCCUUCUUCUUGAUUCUUAUUUUACCAUUGUCGUGUUUCAUGGAUCAACUAUUGCUCAAUGGAGAAAACUUGGAUAUCAUGAACAGCCUGAACAUCAGGCAUUUGCUGAACUAUUAAAAUCUCCUAGAGAAGAUGCAGAGGCCAUUGUUCAUGAAAGAUUUCCUGUACCUCGUUUGGUCAUUUGUGAUCAAUAUGGAUCUCAGGCCCGUUUUAUGCUAGCAAAGUUGAAUCCCUCUGCCACUUACAACUCUGAUGCUCCUCCAAUUCCUGGUGGAGAUAUUAUAUUCACGGAUGACGUUAGUUUUGAGGUUUUCUUGGAUCAUCUGCAGCGGUUGGCUGUUCAUUAGUCUAUGACACAUCUUCGAGUCUAGCGGAGAAUUUUGUAAACUUUUUUUUCACUUGGAUUGAUUGUACAGCAAGAC